rnacentral:sRNA from 1 species
GUGGGAGUGGGAAUGAGAAUGGGAACGGCAACGGGAGCGGCAACGGGAACGGGAACGGUGGUGCGGCGCAUGCAGAAAAUUAUGAAGAGGAGGACGAUAUACGGCUUCAGGGGUAUGUGAGCCGUUUGGAGCGGGGUUUGCUCUAUGCGCAGAGCGCAAAGGAAGGUUAUGACGGGGUCAGCGGGCCUGUUGAUGGGGGGAAUUCGGGUGAUUCUACGGGCAGACAUUAUCUGAAGGAAGGCCGGUGCGGACAAGAGAAAGGGAAGGGUUAUUUGGGUAAGGAAUGGAAUACGGUUGAUGAUUAUGAUGCGGCUAUGUGGACGGCGGGAAUCGCGGCCGAGGAGGUGCUACGGGGUUCGCUUGAUGACUGACUCUGCUCAGUCCGUUUGUCUGUCAUCUUUCGGAUAGAAUACAUCUUCCCUUCACUUUUUCAUUGCUUACCUUUAUUUCCCCCCCCUCCUUCAUUUUCCCUUUCUUCCCUAUCUGAAAUUUGUUUCCUUAAUCAUUUCUUAAUAUCACUUUUUUUUGGACCUUGCCAACCCAAAGAGACAGUCCAUUUGAGGGCGGCAGUGUAUUAAUUAGAUGUUUUCUUCAUUUUGUCAUUUUGUCUUUGGGCUUUUCGAAAUGAUCGCCGUGGGGAUAGGCGUCAUAAUGAAGAUGGGAGGAAAUUUCGAAAUGCAGAACGGAAGAUAAUUCGAAACUCCCCCAAAAAAGAAGAAAAUAGAAUAAUAAAAAAAAAGAAAGAAAAAACGAUAGUUGAAACGGGGGGAGAAAGCGGGAAGAAAAUGAAAAAAAAAAAAAAAAAAAAAAAAAAAAGGAAAACAAUCAAAACAACAAAACAUAAAUAGAAAAUAGAAAAGUAGAUAAAAAUAAGAAAAAAAAAAUUGGAAAAGGGAAUAAAAGACCUG